rnacentral:rRNA from 1 species
GACGAACGCUGGCGGCGUGCUUAACACAUGCAAGUCGAACGGAAAGGCCCUGCUUUUGUGGGCUGCUCUAGUGGCGAACUGGUGAGUAACACGUGAGUAACCUGCCCUUGACUUUGGGAUAACUUCAGGAAACUGGGGCUCAUACCGGCUAGGAUCUCCUGCUUCAUGGUGGGGGUUGGAAAGUUUCGGCGGUUGGUGAUGGACUCGCGGCGUAUCAGCUUGUUGGUGGGGUAGUGUCUUACCAAGGCUUUGACGGGUAGCAGGCCUGAGAGGGUGACCGGCCACAUUGGGACUGAGAUAAGGCCCAGACUCGAACGGGAGGCAGCAGUGGGGAAUAUUGCACAAUGGGCGGAAGCAUGAUGCAGCAAAGCAGCGUGCGGGAUGACGGCCUUCGGGUUGUAAACCGAUUUCGCCUGUGACGAAGCGUGAGUGACGGUAAUGGGUAAAGAAGCACCGGCUAACUACGUG